UGGUUGAUCCCGCCGGAGGCUACCGCUAUUGGAGUUCGAUUAAGCCAUGCGAGUCGAGAGUCUUCAAGGACUCGGCGUACCGCUCAGUAACACGUGGGUAACCUGCCCUAUGCUGGGGAAUAACCUCGGGAAACUGAGAAUAAUGCCCCAUAGCCCACUACGCCUGGAACGGUGAGUGGGUCAAAGCUCCGGCGGCAUAGGAUGGGCCUGCGCCGUAUCAGGUUGUAGGGGGUGUAAAGUACCCUCUAGCCAUCAACGCGUACGGGUGUUGGGAGACAUUGCCCGGAGAUGGAUUCUGAGACACGAAUCCAGACCCUACGGGGUGCAGCAGGCGCGAAAACUUGGCAAUGCGAGCAAUCGUGACCAGGGAACUCCAAGUGCAUCGGGUAAGACCGAUGCUUUUCUUGACUCUUCAAAGGUCUUGGAAUAAGGGGUGGGUAAGGACGGUGCCAGCCGCCGCGGUAAUACCGGCGACUCAAGUGGUAGUCGCUUUUAUUGGGCCUAAAACGUCCGUAGCCGGUUUGGUACAUUCGUGGGUAAAUCAAGGCGCUCAACGUCUUGAAUUCUGCGAGCACGGCCAGACUUGGGACCGGGUGAGGUGUGGGGUACUCUCAGGGUAGGGGUAAAAUCCUGUCAUCCUGAGAGGACCACCUGUUGCGAAGGCGCCACACUAGAACGGAUCCGACGGUCAGGGACGAAGCCUAGGGGCACGAACCGGAUUAGAUACCCGGGUAGUCCUAGGUGUAAACGCUGUGGACUUGAUGUUGGGAGUGCUCCGAGCACCCUCAGUGUCGAAGCGAAGGUGAUAAGUCCACUGCCUGGGGAGUACGGUCGCAAGGCUGAAACUUAAAGGAAUUGGCGGGGGAGCACUGCAACCUGAGGAUUGUGCGGUUUAAUUGGAGUCAACGCCGG
rnacentral:rRNA from 1 species